rnacentral:rRNA from 1 species
UACGUAGGUGGCAAGCGUUAUCCGGAAUUACUGGGUGUAAAGGGCGCGCAGGCGGCCCUGCAAGUCGGAUGUGAAAGAUCAAGGCUCAACCUUGACAGGCCAUUCGAAACUGUGGGACUUGAGUGUCAGAGGGGAAAGUGGAAUUCCUAGUGGAGCGGUAAAAUGCGCAGAUAUUAGGAGGAACACCGGUGGCGAAGGCGGUUUACUGGGCCACAUCUGACGCUGAUGUACGAAAGCGUGGGGAGCAAAGAGGAUUAGAUACCCGUGUAGU